GCAUGGUUCCGCCGUUACCGGGCCAUUUUUACAAGUGCCAAUGAUAAUGACAUGGUGCUCGCUGCCUAAUUGAAUAGGUAAGCGCGGUCCGGGGGGCGCCGGGCAACAGAAGCCCCCCAAA
rnacentral:tmRNA from 1 species